rnacentral:rRNA from 1 species
ACCAGGUGCUGCAUGGCUGUCGUCAGCUCGUGUCGUGAGAUGUUGGGUUAAGUCCCGCAACGAGCGCAACCCUUGUCACUAGUUGCCAUCAUUUGGUUGGGCACUCUAGUGAGACUGCCGGUGACAAACCGGAGGAAGGUGGGGAUGACGUCAAGUCCUCAUGGCCCUUAUGGGUAGGGCUUCACACGUCAUACAAUGGUCGGUACAGAGGGUUGCCAAGCCGCGAGGCGGAGCCAAUCCAGCAAAACUUCCCUCAGUUCAGAUUGCAGGCUGCAACCCGCCUGCAUGAAGUUGGAGUUGCUAGUAAACGCAGGUCAGCCAUACUGCGUUGAAUACGUUCCCGGGGCUU